rnacentral:rRNA from 1 species
GUGUGUGAAGAAGGCCUUCGGGUUGUAAAGCACUUUUGUCCGGAAAGAAAUCCUUGACCCUAAUACGGCGGGGGAUGACGGU